rnacentral:rRNA from 1 species
AGAGCGAACGUUAGCGGCGGGCCUAACACAUGCAAGUCGAACGAGAAUGUAGGCUUCGGUCUACUAGUAAAGUGGCGGACGGGUGCGUAACACGUGGGUAAUCUACCUUCCGGCGGGGGACAACAGUCCGAAAGGAUUGCUAAUACCGCAUACGUCAGCGGCGCCUACGGGCGCUGUUGGGAAAGAUGGCCUCUCCUUGGAAGCUGUCGCCGGAAGAUGAGCCCGCGUCCCAUCAGCUAGUUGGUGAGGUAACGGCUCACCAAGGCUUAGACGGGUAGCUGGUCUGAGAGGACGAUCAGCCACACUGGGAUUGAGAACGGCCCAGACUCCUACGGGGGGCAGCAGUGAGGAAUUUUCCGCAAUGGACGCAAGUCUGACGGAGCAACGCCGCGUGCAGGAUGAAGGUUUUCGGAUCGUAAACUGUCUUUUCUCGGGGACGAGCAAGGACGGUACCCGAGGAAGAAGCCCCGGCUAACGUACGUGCCAGCAGCCGC